rnacentral:rRNA from 1 species
AUUGAACGCUGGCGGCAGGCCUAACACAUGCAAGUCGAGCGGCAGCGGGAAAGUAGCUUGCUACUUUUGCCGGCGAGCGGCGGACGGGUGAGUAAUGCCUGGGAAAUUGCCCAGUCGAGGGGGAUAACAGUUGGAAACGACUGCUAAUACCGCAUACGCCCUACGGGGGAAAGCAGGGGACCUUCGGGCCUUGCGCGAUUGGAUAUGCCCAGGUGGGAUUAGCUAGUUGGUGAGGUAAUGGCUCACCAAGGCGACGAUCCCUAGCUGGUCUGAGAGGAUGAUCAGCCAAACUGGAACGGAGACACGGUCCAGACUCCUAAGGGAGGCAGCAGUGGGGAAUAUUGCACAAUGGGGGAAACCCUGAUGCAGCCAUGCCGCGUGUGUGAAGAAGGCCUUCGGGUUGUAAAGCACUUUCAGCGAGGAGGAAAGGUUGAUGCCUAAUACGUAUCAACUGUGACGUUACUCGCAGAAGAAGCACCGGCUAACUCCGUGCCAGCCGCCGCCGUAACAC